AUGCAAAGUACUUGAAUGGUGACCAGUGG
rnacentral:piRNA from 2 species